AAGUUCACUUCUGGAUCACAUGUACUAAAAUUGGAGCCAUAUAGAGAAGAUUACCAUGGACCCUGCUCAAGGAUGACAUGCAAAUUCAUGAAAAAAAUCUUAUUGUU
rnacentral:snRNA from 1 species